UGACCUCUCCUUUUUCUUUUCUUUUUUUUAUUUUGAUGUUAAUUAUUAUUUUCUCUUCUUUUUUUGAUUUUUUGAUUUUGAUUUAUUAUUAUUAUUAUUUUAUUCUAAAUUCAUAAGAUUAGGCAAGUCCUUGUUAUCCCUUUUCGAUCAGAAUCAAUGUUUUUAUAGAUAAAGUCCUCCACCUAAGAUCUUCCACUUUCAUCUUAU
rnacentral:lncRNA from 1 species